GACGAACGCUGGCGGCGUGCUUAACACAUGCAAGUCGAACGGAAAGGCCCUGCUUUUGUGGGGUGCUCGAGUGGCGAACGGGUGAGUAACACGUGAGUAACCUGCCCUUGACUUUGGGAUAACUUCAGGAAACUGGGGCUAAUACCGGAUAGGAGCUCCUGCUGCAUGGUGGGGGUUGGAAAGUUUCGGCGGUUGGGGAUGGGCUCGCGGCUUAUCAGCUUGUUGGUGGGGUAGUGGCUUACCAAGGCUUUGACGGGUAGCCGGCCUGAGAGGGUGACCGGCCACAUUGGGACUGAGAAACGGCCCAGACUCCUACGGGAGGCAGCAGUGGGGAAUAUUGCACAAUGGGCGGAAGCCUGAUGCAGCAACGCCGCGUGCGGGAUGACGGCCUUCGGGUUGUAAACCGCUUUCGCCUGUGACGAAGCGUGAGUGACGGUAAUGGGUAAAGAAGCACCGGCUAACUACGUG
rnacentral:rRNA from 1 species